GCCCGGAUAGCUCAGUCGGUUAAGCAUCUGACUUCAGCUCAGGUCAUUAUCUCACAGUUCGUGGGUUCAAGCCCCGCGUCAGGUU
rnacentral:tRNA from 1 species